AUAUUAAAGUUGUUGCAGUUAAAAAGCUCGUAGUUGAAUUUCGGGAUCAAAUUGUCGGUCGUGCCUCGGUACGCACUGGUAUUAUUGGUUCCUACCUUCUGAAGAACCGCGAUGUCAUUAAUUUGGUGUCGUGGGGAAUCAGGACUGUUACUUUGAAAAAAUUAGAGUGUUUAAAGCAGGCUUACGCUUGAAUACAUUAGCAUGGAAUAAUGAAAUAGGACGUUUGAUUCUAUUUUGUUGGUUUCUAGGAUUGACGUAAUGAUUAAUAGGGAUAGUUGGGGGCAUUAGUAUUCAAUUGUCAGAGGUGAAAUUCUUGGAUUUAUUGAAGACUAACUACUGCGAAAGCAUUUGCCAAGGAUGUUUUCAUUAAUCAAGAACGAAAGUUAGGGGAUCGAAGACGAUCAGAUACCGUCGUAGUCUUAACCAUAAACUAUGCCGACUAGGGAUCGGAUGAUGUUAAUUUUUUAAUGACUCAUUCGGCGCCUUACGGG
rnacentral:rRNA from 1 species